UGUCCAUUAUUGUAUAAAAAUAAAUCCAGAAGAUAUGUUCUAUUGUUUUAUCACAAAUCUCGACAGUUUUUCAAAUCGAUCUCUUUUUAUAGAUGAUACGGAUGAAAAGUGUCGACAGUCAAUAAAUGUUUUGCUCAUCACUUGCGCGCUGACAUAGAAACGCCAAGCCCGAUGGCGCGGGAGUAUCCACGGUCGUGCUAAAAAUAUGAGAAGAGCAUUCGGGGUAUACGGCUCUCAUCCACGCGCGAACGACGAACAAAACUUCGAGAGGCAUAAAAAAUGUAGAUAACGGCGGUUCCGGCGCGUCGGAAGCGAAUCGCUUAACGGUUAGCGCCGAAACGAAUGACCGGCGCGGGGUUGGAAAGCAAAGUCGGAAUAGGGUUAAGGCGAUGAGGGCGGUUAAAGGGCCAUUACCGCCUCCUCGCGGGCACAAUACCUGCGCGAAACCGACCUCCGGGUUUCU